UUCCUUAGGAACUACUGCAGGGAUUCUGGUAGAGCAACUCUGAGGGCAGCCUAAGAAUUUGUAUUGUUAACAACCUUGCGGACGUUCCUGUGCAGUGGGGCAUCAUUAGGUGGUCCAUAAUUCAACCCAAGUGACCCAACCCUCCUCUGAUUUCCAGAUUAGAUCACUGAUUCCUUGUGUCAUGUAUAUAUGCCAUGCAAAUAUAAAACUAAAAUAAUAUAUUCAAGAAUACAUUAAAUGCAUUUCCACGAAGAGCAAAUUUUAAAAGGUGCUAAGACAGAUCUGAUAGCUGGUUUGUACAAUAAAGCAAUUUAAGAAACUGGGACACAUUCCAAGACAUUUGAGAGGUCAAGGCUUCCCAGGGAGUCAGACAGCAACUUUGUCCAUGGAAAUGAAAAGCAGACCAAAUCCACAGAAGCCCCAGCACAUAUGGACACGUCAGACUACAGGAGUGUGGAUCUAACAUGGCAACCCGAAGAACACGUGGCCCAGUCCAAUCAUCACUGUGGGCAAAUCACUACAGUACUUAGAUUAAGUUAACGUGAAAAGAGCGUGUCAGCCUUUAUACUUGAAAUAAAGUGAGCAGUGUGUGCCGUUCUGGAUCCCUGCUGCUCCGCCAGUUCGCGGACACUGUCCUGAAAAGCGAUCCAUCCAGAUUCCAUACAAGGCCCCAACACUUGCUCCCCCCCGUACAGCCUCCCGUGCAGAAAUUCCAGCCGUGCAACAGACAUUCCCACAUCCAUUACCCCCAAACAGCCACCGAGGCCAAAGACCCCUUUUUUCUAUUACUCUCAAAUAUAAACAGAAGUCAAAUCCUGAGGCAGAAAUAAAUACUGAAAGCAAGUGAAGAUGCCCUCUCUUCAGGCCUGUCUCCUUGGGACAACCUUUCCUGAACAGAGCCAUGGUUUUGAUAUUAAUGACAUCUUUAUAAUCUCAUAUUGUCAGUGCCGUAAAAUCAACAUUUACAUACAAUGAAAUCACCUCAAGAGGAAAUAGAUUUUCCUAAAAUGAAGUCUGAACAUCAUCAGCA